AAGAGGUGUAUGAACAAUUAGAACUGCUAACUCAA
rnacentral:tRNA from 1 species